GCCGCGAUAGUUCAGUGGUUAGAACACUAGACUCCGCCUCUCGUGGUCCCGAGUUCAAUUCCUCGUCGCGGCG
rnacentral:tRNA from 1 species